rnacentral:lncRNA from 1 species
AGAGCUUAGGAGAUCUCUGCCGACCCCAUCCCACUGUGACACACAAGGUGCCCCCAGAGAGACUGGAAAUCUCUCCAGAGGCUGACCUCUCAAAGAUUGAUCAGGUCAUGGGCUCCCAAGCUGAGAGGUCUUAUUAGAGGGGUCCCCUGAUCUGUACAAAGCCUGAGAGCCAAAAACAAAACAAAACAAAACAAAAACCAAAAACAAAAAAUAAAAACAAAACAAACAAACAAAAACCCCUUGAAAUCCAAGGACACUAUGGAGGUUCCCUUGCUUGUUUUUACAGAUUGGAAGGAAGCCCAGGUGCAAUGCGUUUCCACAUUCAAAGAGAGUCCAUACUAGGAGGUUUGUCUGAAGGACAAUGUUUGUGUGUAUUUGAUACAUAUUUAAUGUCGAUGUAUGUGUUUUUAAAUGGAGAAAAUACUGAGUGCUCUCUAAACACUUGUAGAAGGAGACACUGAAUGCGAAGAUAGAGAGAAGGGUGCCUGCUGAUCCUGAGGCACCUCCCCAUGGGGCAGCUGAGCCUGAUCAGGGCGGCUACAACCAAUAGGACUCACUUGUGCAUGCUGUUCCCCCACACACACACACACACCGCCCCCACACACAACUUUCAGACUUUUUGUGGCAGUAAUCAAAUCCCAAAGAGGAGGGGAAAGCAAGAUGUUGCACCCCAUGGAGGCUUUGUUCCUUGGAUGUGUUAAUUAGACUUUUGUACUGUAUUAAAAGUACCUGACAGCGCCAGCGAGGUGGCUCGACCGCUAUGCUAGUUUAGUUUUAUGUCAACUUUACACUAGCUUGAAUCAUCUGGGAGGAGAGAGCCUCAACUGAGAAAAUGCUUCCGUAAGAUCAGGCUGUAGGCAAGCUCGUAGGAUAUUUUCUUAAUUAGUGAUUGAGGUGGGAGGGCUCAGUAGAUUGUGGGUAUGGAUACCUUGGGCUGUUUGGUCCUGGGUUCUAUAAGACAAAGGCUGGACAAGCCACGUAAGCAGCAGUCCUCAUGGUCUCUGCAUCAGCUCCUGCCUUCAGGUUCUUGCCUAGAUUGAGUUCCUGCCUUGGCUUCCCUCAGUGGACUGUGAUUCAGGAUGUGGAAGCCCUUUCCUCCCUGAGUUGCUUUCGGUCACAAUGUUUCAUUGCAGCCAUAGUAAUUGUAACUAACACGCAGUAGUUUGAUCCCGGGAACUGGUACCCAUGAAUAUCGCCCCCCCCUUCCCGUUCCUGACAGACAAUAAUAACAAAGAAACAAAAUACAAAAUGCACAACAAAUAAAAGCAACUCCAAAGAAUUGUGGUUUCAGGUUUAGCUAUAUAGACUCUGAGUUGGGUUAAUCCAGUUUACCCUCAUGAUCCUGUCACCUCUCCAUAGUGUCACCAACAGGGGACCAGGGCUUCAGCAUGAGUUUAUUGAGGGACACUUCAUAUCCAAAACAUAACAGUAAAGUGGUCAAGAGGCCAUGUUUUGUCCUCUUCACUGCGACCUGUGAAAUCCCACUCUGAGACACACAACCAAAAAGAAUGUAUGACUUAAGUUCUUCAUGCACCAGGAAUUAUGGAUCCUGCUUCUCUGUUAAGUCUAAACUGACAUUAUCCUCAAAUUCUUCAUUUUCCUAGUACAGCAAUAGCUUCAGUCACAAAAAUCUCAGGGUUCUUAGUUCUUAGUUCUUACUACAAUUUAACCAUGUGGCACAUGAGUUGAGAAACCUCUCGGAGUGUCUCUACUGUGGGCUAUGACUCAGGCUUCCAGCAUGCAGAACCACUGUCCCCUAAUGCUCCUUGGGAGUCACUACCUUCCUCUGAAUGUCUGAGAGAUGCCUUGGGGGCUAUGUUCCAGAACCUGCAACUUGUUACAUACUCCAGAGCAAAGUAGCCGGAGAAUGCUGUCUCUUCCCAUGUUUAGUUGGUUUUUUUUUUUCUUUUUUCUUUUUUUCCGGAGCUGGGGACCGAACCCAGGGCCUUGCACUUGCUAGGCAAGCACUCUACCACUGAGCUAAAUCCCCAACCCCUUCUUCCCAUGUUUAAAAGCAGAAAUAAAGUUUGUGGGAUCUAGUUGGCCCCAAUAGCAUCUAAGCCUAGGGAUUAACUGGAACUGAGAGUUUAAGACUUGUCCUGACUCAAUCUUGGAAAUCUGACCCAAUCCUAAUUUACCUUUCUGCCUACUUCACUGAUGCAUGGGCCAUUAGAUAGUCUCCAAUAAGGAGGUUCCAGGAAGUUGGUGACAUGCUUGCUUGGUAAGCAUGAAGACCUGUGGUCAAUCUCCAGAAAUCAUGUGAGAACUCCAUUUUUCCCUUUAAAUCCCUGAACUGGAGGUAGAGACAAGAGGAUCCUUGGGGUGGGCUGGCCAGCCAAUCUAAGAGACACUGUCUGACAGUGGUGGGCGGUGUUUUUGUAGAGGAUGACACCUCCACAGGCAGGCAUGUACACAUGCGCACACACAUACACACAUGCACACACACUUCUGGCUAAGCCCUCCUUUAGCCCAUUUUGGAACUUUACUACUAGAAAUUCUGUUGAACACAUUCAUUUUUGUCUUUAAUAGUUUGGGUGUGUAGUUUUGUAUGUGCAUGUAUGCACAGGCCAGAGGAAGAUGUCCGACAUCUUGCCACCGUCUGCCUUAUUUCCUGACUGGAUCUGAAGCUUGCCAUUCUGGCGAGGCUAUCUAGCCAGAGAGCUCCAGAAACCUGCCUGUCACUGCCCCAUAAUGCUGGGGUUAUAGGCACACUGAUCAUAGCAGGCGUUUUUUUGUUUUUUUUUUACAUGAGUGACGGGAUUCGAACUCGGGCCCUCAAACUUGCACAGCAUCCUUAUCCACCAUUACCUUGGCCUCCGUCUUUUAAAAUAUGUGCUAAUUGUCAACUCAUUGCCUCUCGGCUCCACACAUCCUUCAUUGAAAACUCUUCAAAACUGGAGCUGUGUCCUUUGAAUGUUUUUCCUUUGCAGAGAGUACAGCAUUAAGCUUUUCAGUGGAAGGCAUUGGAAAGACAGUGAGGAGGUGGGAUCUGCUACCCUGGUGCCCUUAUACUGGCCACAUCCACAGUUCUCCGGCUCCUGUAGCACCAGCUGCUUCAAGCCCCCGGUCCCAGGACGCACAGUGACCAGUGGUGCUUGAGACCAGCUCCCUUACCUCAAGCUGUACAGUAGAGUGCCUGAGGUGACCUAGCUCACCAGAAUUUUUCUGUUAGCCCAUAGAACAGAGUUCUGGUAUGUGUCUCCAUUGUAGCGUCCCAAGAGUUGUUCUGCCAUCUUGUGCCAAGGCCAUGCCCCUUUCAACAAGGUCUGAGCUUGGCCCUCACACGUUCUCAUCCUUCAGGGUCUUUCCUUCCGUCUGCCAUUCUUUUAUCCUUUAGGCUUCUCUUUACUUCUUAUUAGCCAUUUCUUUGCUGACUUAAUCCCGUAUUGUGGUGAAUAAUUUUUUUUGUAUUGCAUGUUGCCUGUUCAAAGUACAGUGUAGUUAGUCCUUCUUGAUUGAAUCCAGACAGACAUAGAAUUCGAAUGUCCUUGGGGUAGAACUCACAGGGAAUCAGCGACACUCUAGUAUAAAGUAGUUUAUUUUGUUUUCCUGGCACUGGAGAACAGUAAAUACCUUGUGGGCGAGCUGGGAAACCUAUAGAAGAAAAACCCAGCAAGCGGGUGGGGAUUCCACUAAUGAACUUUGCCUAUUUCCCAUCUGGCCAUGGGCUGACCAGAACGAUGCAGUGUUGAUCCGUAUUUCACAGGAAAUGUCUCUGGCUCCCCAGGGUCAGCAUCGUGGCACCAGCAAGAGAAUGAAGAAAUAGUUGGGGAAACAGCAGCCAGUGCGCUUUGAUAAGCUCAGCACAAUCACCUUGGCUACACUUCUUAGUCACGCAUCAAAGAUGCAGCCACGUAAGACACAGAAUUCCACGGAUCAAGGUCAGGCUUGGCUUCUCUGUUAGGCAGGAGCCCCUCCAGACAAGGCACCAUCCACUUCCGACCACAAGGAAAGCUCAGGUCCAUGAGCCUUCAGACAACGAAAUGUCCCAUUAAGGGAAGACCAGUGCUCUUUUUCCCUGGGGCUUUCAAACAGGAACUUGGUUUCUCUCUUUGGAAGGCCUCUGUACUCCUGACACAGGGCUGGAGUAGGAACAGGAUGGCAGGCGUUCCUUAAACUUGUUCUAGCAAUGCACCUACAUGGUUAAGAACAGUUGGUACAGAAGGACUGACCUGGUGUGGUGGUUUGAAUAGGAAUGGCCCCCAUACAUUCACGUGCUUGGCCCAUGGCGAGUGGCACCAUUAGGAGGUGUGGCCUUGUUGGAAGAAGUGGGUCACUGCGGGGGCGGACUUUGAGGUCCCCUAUGCUCAAGCUACACCCGGUGUGAAACACAGUCUCCUUCUGCUGUCUGUGGAUCAAGAUGUAGACCUCUCAGUUCUUUCUCCAGCACCAAGUCUGCCUGCACACCGCCACUUUCCACCAUGACAAUAAUGGAUUGAACCUCCUUCGUGUAAGACAGCCCCAGUUAAAUGUUUUCCUUUAUGAGAGUCGUUGUGGUCAUGGGGUCUCUUCC